GAUUAUUGGUCUGAAAGCCUCGGACUGAAUGCUGAGUGAACCAAGGAUGCACGUGGGGAGCAAUAAUGGAAAAGAAGUGGGAAAUGCUGCUUUAAGCAUCUGUGAGUUCUCUCCUUCCCGCUCCGGUGCCCUCGCUGACCUCACUGAGGGCAGGCCCCGGUCAGCCUCGGCCCCGCUGGAGCUCCAGCUCUGGAAGGCUCCCUGGCAUACAGUGGGCGCUCAGAUAACACCUUCCGUGGCCAAGCCCCACAGUGAGCAAUCCAGAUAAGGCUCUGCCGUGGAGAGUACCCACUCGGUGCCCUUUGCCUGCCCCUCUCCCCCUGCCCUGGGCAAUGGAGAGCCACGGAAAGGAAGGACUUCCUGGGCUGGUGCACCCCAAGCAUCUUUCCACCCCAGUCUCGCGCAGCAAGGCUGGCCCAGGACAAGAAUAGAGCAGCCCACAGCUUCAGCGAGCCUGGAGGGGGUGGAGGCAGCUAAACCUGGCUUGGCAGGCCUGAAUGCUGCCUGAUGAGGAUGCUCUCACUACUGUCAUUGCAACAGAAAGUCCACGUGCCUCUGCCAUCCAUCUAUCGGUC